rnacentral:SRP_RNA from 1 species
CUACGCUAAGUGGGGAGCUAGCGGUGCCCUGUACCUGCAAUCCGCUACAGCAGGACUGAAUACUAUUCUAGGUAUAGUGUAUGGAAGGUCAGACUUAGAUAAGGAGUGUUGAUAUCAAGGUCUUGUGCAAUAUUUCACUGUGAACCAUGUCAGGGCUUGACCGCAGCAGCAUUAAGCAGAACGAAGUAUGUGCCACAAGGUAGCUUUGAAGUAGCCACCUGUUUGAGGAAUCGCUUCGGUAUAUUAUAUCGAAAAUAGUUGCGUAG